rnacentral:rRNA from 2 species
CUUGCUUCUCUGAUGUUAGCGGCGGACGGGCGAGUAACACGUGGGUAACCUACCUAUAAGACUGGGAUAACUCCGGGAAACCGGGGCUAAUACCGGAUAAUAUUUUGAACCGCAUGGUUCAAUAUUGAAAGACGGUUUCCGCUGUCACUUAUAAAUGGACCCUCGCCGCAUUAGCUAGUUGGUAAGGUAACGGCUUACCAAGGCGACGAUACGUAGCCGACCUGAGAGGGUGAUCGGCCACACUGGAACUGACACACGGUCCAGACUCCUACGGGAGGCAGCAGUAGGGAAUCUUCCGCAAUGGACGAAAGCCUGACGGAGCAACGCCGCGUGAGUGAUGAAGGUCUUCGGAUCGUAAAACUCUGUUGUUAGGGAAGAACAAAUUUGUUAGUAACUGAACAAGUCUUGACGGUACCUAACCAGAAAUCCACGGCUAACUACGUGCCAGCAGCCGCGGUACUACGUUGGUGGCAAGCGUUAUCCGGAAUUAUUGGGCGUAAAGCGCGCGUAGGCGUUUUCUUAAGUCUGAUGUGAAAGCCCACGGCUCAACCGUGGAGGGUCAUUGGAAACUGGGAAACUUGAGUGCAGAACAGGAGAGUGGAAUUCCAUGUGUAGCGGUGAAAUGCGCAGAGAUU